GACGAACGCUGGCGGCGUGCUUAACACAUGCAAGUCGAGCGGGUAAGGCCCUUUCGGGGGUACACGAGCGGCGAACGGGUGAGUAACACGUGGGUGACCUGCCCUCAGCUCUGGGAUAAGCCUGGGAAACCGGGUCUAAUACUGGAUAUGACUCCAUGACGCAUGUUGUGGGGUGGAAAGCCUUGUGCGGCUGAGGAUGGGCCCGCGGCCUAUCAGCUUGUUGGUGGGGUGAUGGCCUACCAAGGCGACGACGGGUAGCCGGCCUGAGAGGGCGACCGGCCACACUGGGACUGAGACACGGCCCAGACUCCUACGGGAGGGCAGCAGUGGGGAAUCUUGCGCAAUGGGCGAAAGCCUGACGCAGCGACGCCGCGUGAGGGAUGACGGCCU
rnacentral:rRNA from 1 species